rnacentral:rRNA from 1 species
AGUGAACGCUGGCGGUAGGCCUAACACAUGCAAGUCGAACGGCAGCACAGUAAGAGCUUGCUCUUACGGGUGGCGAGUGGCGGACGGGUGAGGAAUACAUCGGAAUCUACUUUUUCGUGGGGGAUAACGUAGGGAAACUUACGCUAAUACCGCAUACGACCUACGGGUGAAAGCAGGGGAUCUUCGGACCUUGCGCGAUUGAAUGAGCCGAUGUCGGAUUAGCUAGUUGGCGGGGUAAAGGCCCACCAAGGCGACGAUCCGUAGCUGGUCUGAGAGGAUGAUGAGAGACACUGGGACUGAUACACGGUAAAGACUCCCACGGGAGGCAGCAGUGGGGAAGUUUGGACAAUGGGCGAAAGACUGAUAAAGAAAUGCAGCGUGGGUGAAGAAGGCCUUCGGGUUGUAAAGCACGUUUGUAAGGAAAGAAAUAAAUCGGCCUAAUACGGUCGGGGGAUGACGGUACCGGAAGAAUAAGCAACGGCCAACUACGUG